UUGGAGGGCAAGUCUGGUGCCAGCAGCCGCGGUAAUUCCAGCUCCAAUAGCGUAUAUUAAAGUUGUUGCAGUUAAAAAGCUCGUAGUUGAAUUUCGGGGUCAGUAGGCUGGUCGUGCCUCAGGUACGUACUGGUCUUACUGAUUCCUCCUUCCUGACGAACCGUAAUGCCAUUAAUUUGGUGUUGCGGGGAAUCUGGACUGUUACUUUGAAAAAAUUAGAGUGUUUAAAGCAGGCUAACGCUUGAAUACAUUAGCAUGGAAUAAUGAAAUAGGACGAUCGAUCCUAUUUUGUUGGUUUCUAGGAUUGACGUAAUGAUUAAUAGGGAUAGUUGGGGGCAUUAGUAUUUAAUUGUCAGAGGUGAAAUUCUUGGAUUUAUUGAAGACUAACUACUGCGAAAGCAUUUGCCAAGGAUGUUUUCAUUAAUCAAGAACGAAAGUUAGGGGAUCGAAGACGAUCAGAUACCGUCGUAGUCUUAACCAUAAACUAUGCCGACUAGGGAUCGGAUGAUGUUAAUUUUUUAAUGACUCAUUCGGCGCCUUACGGGAAA
rnacentral:rRNA from 1 species